rnacentral:rRNA from 1 species
GGCUUCGGUCAGUGCCCAAGCGAAAGUGAUAAGUGAUCCACCUGGGGAGUACGCCGGCAACGGUGAAACUCAAAGGAAUUGACGGGGGCCCGCACAAGCGGUGGAGCAUGUGGUUUAAUUCGAUGAUACGCGAGGAACCUUACCAGGGCUUAAAUGCAGAACGACCGGCGUGGAAACAUGCCUUUCUUCGGACGGACUGCAAGGUGCUGCAUGGUCGUCGUCAGCUCGUGCCGUGAGGUGUCGGGUUAAGUCCCAUAACGAGCGCAACCCCUAUCUUUAGUUGCCAGCGGAUAAUGCCGGGGACUCUAGAGAAACUGCCAGCGUAAGCUGUGAGGAAGGUGGGGAUGACGUCAGAUCAUCACGGCCCUUACGUCCUGGGCUACACACGUGCUACAAUGGCAAGGACAAUGAGCUGCCAACCCGCGAGAGCGAGCAAAUCUUCAAACCUUGUCUCAGUUCGGAUCGGAGUCUGCAACUCGACUCCGUGAAGUUGGAAUCGCUAGUAAUCGCGUAUCAGCCAUGACGCGGUGAAUACGUUCCCGGGCCUUGUACACACCGCCCGUCAAACCAUGGAAGUUGGGGGUGCCUGAAGUCCGUCACCGUAAGGAGCGGCCUAGGGUAAAACCAAUGACUGGGGUUAAGUCGUAACAAGGUAACCGUAA